rnacentral:rRNA from 1 species
CCUACGGGAGGCAGCAGUGGGGAAUAUUGCACAAUGGGCGAAAGCCUGAUGCAGCGACGCCGCGUGAGGGAUGACGGCCUUCGGGUUGUAAACCUCUUUCAGCAGGGAAGAAGCGAAAGUGACGGUACCUGCAGAAGAAGCGCCGGCUAACUACGUGCCAGCAGCCGCGGUAAUACGUAGGGCGCAAGCGUUGUCCGGAAUUAUUGGGCGUAAAGAGCUCGUAGGCGGCUUGUCACGUCGGGUGUGAAAGCCCGGGGCUUAACCCCGGGUCUGCAUUCGAUACGGGCUAGCUAGAGUGUGGUAGGGGAGAUCGGAAUUCCUGGUGUAGCGGUGAAAUGCGCAGAUAUCAGGAGGAACACCGGUGGCGAAGGCGGAUCUCUGGGCCAUUACUGACGCUGAGGAGCGAAAGCGUGGGGAGCGAACAGGAUUAGAUACCCUGGUAGUCCACGCCGUAAACGGUGGGAACUAGGUGUUGGCGACAUUCCACGUCGUCGGUGCCGCAGCUAACGCAUUAAGUUCCCCGCCUGGGGAGUACGGCCGCAAGGCUAAAACUUAAAUGAAUUGACGG